CCUACGGGGGGCUGCAGUGGGGAAUAUUGGACAAUGGGGGCAACCCUGAUCCAGCCAUGCCGCGUGUGUGAAGAAGGCCCUCGGGUUGUAAAGCACUUUCAGUGAGGAAGAACGCCUGGUGGUUAAUACCCAUCAGGAAAGACAUCACUCACAGAAGAAGCACCGGCUAACUCCGUGCCAGCAGCCGCGGUAAUACGGAGGGUGCGAGCGUUAAUCGGAAUUACUGGGCGUAAAGCGCGCGUAGGUGGCUUGAUAAGCCGGUUGUGAAAGCCCCGGGCUCAACCUGGGAACGGCAUCCGGAACUGUCAAGCUAGAGUGCAGGAGAGGAAGGUAGUAUUCCCGGUGUAGCGGUGAAAUGCGUAGAGAGCGGGAGGAAUACCAGUGGCGAAGGCGGCCUUCUGGACUGACACUGACACUGAGGUGCGAAAGCGUGGGUAGCAAACAGGAUUAGAUAUCCUAGUAGUC
rnacentral:rRNA from 1 species